CGCGGUAAUUCCAGCUCCAGUAGCGUGAUUUAAAGUUGCUGCGUUUAAAACGCUCGUAGUUGGAUCACGCAGUGGCAUUCAGUAACAUGGGUCGUGUUUUUUGACGAUUUUCUUCAACAAGAUUAUUGGAUCUGGACCGAUCUGUGUGUUUACGCUGUAUGUCACUAUUUGCACACAAGUAUGGUAUUUGGUCUUUAGUGAAUCGAGUAUCAUGUCUUGUGGAGUGUGCCUUGAAUAAAACAGAGUGCUCAAAGCAGGCGAACGCUUGAAUGUUAUAGCAUGGAACGAACAAACGUGUAUUUGUGCAUGUCUGAAUGGUUGGGGGCAACUUUGACUGUUUGGAUAUGUGCAGCACCCGCCAAAAUACGGAUGUUGGUUUUCGUAUCAGGUGAUGAUUAACAGGAGCGGUUGGGGGCAUUGGUAUUCGGCCGCGAGAGGUGAAAUUCUUGGACCGGCCAAGGACUAACAGAUGCGAAGGCGUUUGUCUAGACCGUUUCCAUUAAUCAAGAACGAAAGUGGGAGGUUCGAAGACGAUCAGAUACCGUCCUAGUUCCCACUAUAAACUAUGCCGACCUGGGAUCAGUUUAGUGAUUAACAAGCUCUAGGUUGGUCCCCCUGGGAAACCUCAAGUUUUUCGGUUACGGGGAGAGUAUGGUCGCAAGUCUGAAACUUAAAGGAAUUGACGGAAGGGCACCACCAGGGGUGGAGCCUGCGGCUUAAUUUGACUCAACACGGGAAAACUUACCUGGU
rnacentral:rRNA from 1 species